rnacentral:sRNA from 1 species
UAUCUGCGAUAUAAACGAUUCGAACCUGCGGCAGGUUCGUGUCGAACAUAGUGAGACAACGGAGCCGCUUGCGGCGACGGCCCGAAGGGCGAGCGAAUCCAGAGCAAAUGGGACUGCGCUUCUG